rnacentral:rRNA from 1 species
GAUGAACGCUGGCGGCGUGCCUAAUACAUGCAAGUAGAACGCACAGUUUAUACCGUAGCUUGCUACACCAUAGACUGUGAGUUGCGAACGGGUGAGUAACGCGUAGGUAACCUGCCUGGUAGCGGGGGAUAACUAUUGGAAACGAUAGCUAAUACCGCAUAAUAUUAAUUAUUGCAUGAUAAUUAAUUGAAAGGUGCAAUUGCACCACUACCAGAUGGACCUGCGUUGUAUUAGCUAGUAGGUGAGGUAACGGCUCACCUAGGCGACGAUACAUAGCCGACCUGAGAGGGUGAUCGGCCACACUGGGACUGAGACACGGCCCAGACUCCUACGGGAGGCAGCAGUAGGGAAUCUUCGGCAAUGGACGAAAGUCUGACCGAGCAACGCCGCGUGAGUGAAGAAGGUUUUCGAAUCGUAAAGCUCUGUUGUAAGAGAAGAACGGGUGUGAGAGUGGAAAGUUCACGCUGUGACGGUAGCUUACCAGAAAGGGACGGCUAACUACGUG